UACGGGGGGAGCAAGCGUUGUUCGGAUUUACUGGGCGUAAAGGGCGCGUAGGCGGUCAGCACAAGUCAGUUGUGAAAUCUCCGGGCUUAACUCGGAAAGGUCAACUGAUACUGUGCGACUAGAGUGCGGAAGGGGCAACUGGAAUUCUCGGUGUAGCGGUGAAAUGCGUAGAUAUCGGGAGGAACACCGGUGGCGAAGGCGGUUCUCUGGGCCUUACCUGACGCUGAGGAGCGAAAGCGUGGGGAGCGAACAGG
rnacentral:rRNA from 1 species